UUGUAACUCUACCCCUUCAGAGACGUCAACAACCAAAAAAGAUACUCGGUUAUCAGCGGAGAAGGAGUCCUCAUCAGACACCUCGACAAACACUCAGGAAAGUGAAGAUGGUUCCCCACCCACAAAGAAAAGUAGAGUGGAAUCAUCUUCUCAGGACUUAGAUAACUAAAGCUGACUAGUUUGCUCCCAUGUUUCAAACACGUCACUGUCACAAACCAAUGAGGAAACACAACACACUUAACAAUCCAUUCCUGAUCUUUAAGUACAGCUUCACCCUGUUCAUCAUCUUCUCACCUGGAGCGAACAUUGUCGCUGUGCCAGUGAACCGAGGCCGACGACGAACACUGACCUGAUCCUGUGAGAAACCUGCAGCCUCGCUCCAUUCAACUCAUGCACGAUAUACAGCGUUAGUUUAACAGUAAUGAGAGUGAAUGCACUGCAUAGAUUUGUCAAGAUAAAAGAUGGAUUUGCUGCUGUGAUCAUCUUUGUUUUAAGUCUUCUAUUAUUUAAUUGAAUGACUCUACUAGUUGUUUUUCGAACUAUUUUGCAGGUUGUUGUAUGGUUAUAGUGCUGGUGUUUGGUUUGUUCAUAGAUUCUCUACUGGUUAGUGUGCCUUCUGGCUCCAUGAUGUGUGAUUUUAUU